CAGCAGCCACGGUAAUACAGAGGGUGCAAGCGUUAAUCGGAAUUACUGGGCGUAAAGCGCGCGUAGGUGGUUUGUUAAGUUGGAUGUGAAAUCCCCGGGCUCAACCUGGGAACUGCAUCCAAAACUGGCAAGCUAGAGUAUGGUAGAGGGUGGUGGAAUUUCCUGUGUAGCGGUGAAAUGCGUAGAUAUAGGAAGGAACACCAGUGGCGAAGGCGACCACAUGGACUGAUACUGACACUGAGGUGCGAAAGCGUGGGGAGCAAACAGGAUUAGAUACCCCUGUAGUCCCUGUCUCUUAUAC
rnacentral:rRNA from 1 species